rnacentral:rRNA from 1 species
UACGGAGGGUGCGAGCGUUGUCCGGAAUCACUGGGCGUAAAGGGCGCGUAGGCGGCAUGCCAAGCGUGUGGUGGAAGCCCGGGGCUCAACCCCGGGUCGGCCGUGCGGACUGGCAUGCUCGAGCACUGUAGGGGCGGGUGGAAUUCCGGGUGUAGCGGUGAAAUGCGCAGAUAUCAGGAGGAACACCAAUGGCGAAGGCAGCUCGCUGGAACGGAACUGACGCUGAGGCGCGAAAGCGUGGGGAGCGAACAGG